GAAUAGACUACCCGGGUAGUCCACGCCCUAAACUAUGUCAACUAGUUGUCGGGGAAGAAAUUCCUUGGUAACGCAGCUAACGCGUGAAGUUGACCGCCUGGGGAGUACGGCCGCAAGGUUAAAACUCAAAGGAAUUGACGGGGACCCGCACAAGCGGUGGAUUAUGUGGAUUAAUUCGAUGCAACGCGAAAAACCUUACCUACCCUUGACAUGUACGGAAUUCCGCAGAGAUGUGGAAGUGCCCGAAAGGGAACCGUAACACAGGUGCUGCAUGGCUGUCGUCAGCUUGUGUCGUGAGAUGUUGGGUUAAGUCCCGCAACGAGCGCAACCCUUGCCAUUAGUUGCUACAUUCAGUUGGGCACUCUAAUGGGACCGCCGGUGACAAACCGGAGGAAGGUGGGGAUGACGUCAAGUCCUCAUGGCCCUUAUGGGUAGGGCUUCACACGUAAUACAAUGGUCGGUACAGAGGGCUGCCAACCCGCAAGGGGGAGCUAAUCCCAGAAAGCCGAUCGUAGUCCGGAUUGUAGUCUGCAACUCGACUGCAUGAAGCCGG
rnacentral:rRNA from 1 species